rnacentral:rRNA from 1 species
UAGGGAAUCUUCGGCAAUGGGGGCAACCCUGACCGAGCAACGCCGCGUGAGUGAAGAAGGUUUUCGGAUCGUAAAGCUCUGUUGUAAGAGAAGAACGUGUGUGAGAGUGGAAAGUUCACACAGUGACGGUAACUUACCAGAAAGGGACGGCUAACUACGUGCCAGCAGCCGCGGUAAUACGUAGGUCCCGAGCGUUGUCCGGAUUUAUUGGGCGUAAAGCGAGCGCAGGCGGUUUAAUAAGUCUGAAGUUAAAGGCAGUGGCUGAACCAUCGAUCGCUUUGGAAACUGUUGAACUUGAGUGCAGAAGGGGAGAGUGGAAUUCCAUGUGUAGCGGUGAAAUGCGUAGAUAUAUGGAGGAACACCGGUGGCGAAAGCGGCUCUCUGGUCUGUAACUGACGCUGAGGCUCGAAAGCGUGGGGAGCAAACAGG